rnacentral:rRNA from 1 species
UCGGGUUGUAAAGCACUUUUGUCCGGAAAGAAAACCUCGUGGUUAAUACCCGUGGGGGAUGACGGUACCGGAAGAAUAAGCACCGGCUAACUACGUGCCAGCAGCCGCGGUAAUACGUAGGGUGCAAGCGUUAAUCGGAAUUACUGGGCGUAAAGCGUGCGCAGGCGGUUCGCUAAGACAGAUGUGAAAUCCCCGGGCUUAACCUGGGAACUGCAUUUGUGACUGGCGGGCUAGAGUAUGGCAGAGGGGGGUAGAAUUCCACGUGUAGCAGUGAAAUGCGUAGAGAUGUGGAGGAAUACCGAUGGCGAAGGCAGCCCCCUGGGCCAAUACUGACGCUCAUGCACGAAAGCGUGGGGAGCAAACAGGAUUAGAUACCCUGGUAGUCCACGCCCUAAACGAUGUCAACUAGUUGUUGGGGAUUCAUUUCCUUAGUAACGUAGCUAACGCGUGAAGUUGACCGCCUGGGGAGUACGGUCGCAAGAUUAAAACUCAAAGGAAUUGACGGGACCCGCACAAGCGGUGGAUGAUGUGGGAUUAAUUCGAUGCAACGCGAAAAACCUUACCUACCCUUGACAUGUACGGAACCCUGCUG